rnacentral:rRNA from 1 species
AUUCCAGCUCCAAUAGCGUAUAUUAAAGUUGUUGUGGUUAAAAAGCUCGUAGUUGGAUCUCGGCGGUCUGAGGGCGGUUCGCUUCAGAGCGCUACUGCCCUAUAGACCGUAGUUUUGCCAGAGGUCUCAGGGUGCUCUUAACCGAGUGUCUUGCGAUGCUGGCAGGUUUACUUUGAAAAAAUUAGAGUGCUCAAAGCAGGCUUUUACGCCUGAAUAUUCGUGCAUGGAAUAAUAGAAUAGGAAGUCGUUUCUAUUUUGUUGGUUUUCGGAAAUUGACUUAAUGAUUAACAGGGACAGUCAGGGGCACUCGUAUUCCGCCGAGAGAGGUGAAAUUCUCAGACCAGCGGAAGACGAACCACUGCGAAAGCAUUUGCCAGGGAUGUUUUCAUCA